AUUGAACGCUGGCGGCAUGCUUUACACAUGCAAGUCGAACGGUAACGGGCCGCAAGGUGCUGACGAGUGGCGAACGGGUGAGUAAUGCAUCGGAACGUGCCCAGUCGUGGGGGAUAACGCAGCGAAAGCUGUGCUAAUACCGCAUACGAUCUAUGGAUGAAAGCGGGGGACCGUAAGGCCUCGCGCGAUGGGAGCGGCCGAUGUCAGAUUAGGUAGUUGGUGGGGUAAAGGCCUACCAAGCCGACGAUCUGUAGCUGGUCUGAGAGGACGACCAGCCACACUGGGACUGAGACACGGCCCAGACUCCUACGGGAGGCAGCAGUGGGGAAUUUUGGACAAUGGGCGCAAGCCUGAUCCAGCAGUGCCGCGUGCAGGAAGAAGGCCUUCGGGUUGUAGACUGCUUUUGUACGGAACGAAACGGUCUGGGUUAAUACCCUGGGCUAAUGACGGUACCGUAAGAAUAAGCACCGGCUAACUACGUGCCAGCCGCCGCAGUAACAC
rnacentral:rRNA from 1 species